rnacentral:rRNA from 1 species
AGCGAACGCUGGCGGCAGGCCUAACACAUGCAAGUCGAACGAACCCUUCGGGGUUAGUGGCGGACGGGUGAGUAACACGUGGGAACGUGCCUUUAGGUUCGGAAUAACUCAGGGAAACUUGUGCUAAUACCGAAUGUGCCCUUCGGGGGAAAGAUUUAUCGCCUUUAGAGCGGCCCGCGUCUGAUUAGCUAGUUGGUGAGGUAAUGGCCCACCAAGGCUACGAUCAGUAGCUGGUCUGAGAGGAUGACCAGCCACAUUGGGACUGAGACACGGCCCAAACUCCUACGGGAGGCAGCAGUGGGGAAUCUUACGCAAUGGGCGAAAGCCUGACGCAGCCAUGCCGCGUGGAUGAUGAAGGUCUUAGGAUUGUAAAAUCCUUUCACCGGUGAAGAUAAUGACUGUAGCCGGAGAAGAAGCCCCGGCUAACUUCGUGCCAGCCGCCGCAGUAACAC